rnacentral:lncRNA from 1 species
UGGGAUGUCUAACAUCAAGAAACACCUAACUACCUUUCAGGGAUCCUCAAGUUGGUCGUCCAGAGCAUCCCUGAGAGGGAAGGCUAAGAGAGGCAGGUGUGGGAACAGCAGGCUGGAUGAAGGCCAGCAAGUGCAGCCUAAAAUCGACCCUCCAGUGUCUCAUUGUUGAACCAACAGGUAAGCUGUCAACUACAGCUCCAGCACCAUGCCUGCCUGUCUGCCUUCUGCCAUGAGCCAUGAAACGAUAACCAUGGACUCUCACCCUCUG